rnacentral:rRNA from 1 species
GACGAACGCUGGCGGCGUGCCUAAUACAUGCAAGUCGAACGCAGUGGGGACGGGUGAGUAACACGUGGGUAACCUCCCAUCAGAGGGGAUAACACUUGGAAACAGGUGCUAAACCGAUACUGAUGGAUGGACCCGCGGUGCAUUAGCUAGUUGGUGGGGUAACGGCGCACCAAGGCCACGAUGCAUAGCCGGUCUGAGAGGAGGAUCGGCCACACUGGAACUGAGACACGGCCCAGACUCCUACGGGAGGCAGCAGUAGGGAAUCUUCGGCAAUGGGCGCAAGUCUGACCGAGCAACGCCGCGUGAAUGAAGAAGGUUUUCGGAUUGUAAAACACUGUUGUUAGAGAAGCGGUAUCUAACCAGGAAGCAACGGCUAACUACGUGCCAGCAGCCGCGGUAAUAC